rnacentral:rRNA from 1 species
AUGGACCGUCAUCGUCCUGGUCAGGAUGCCCCACCACCACCUCCACCACCUCCUCCUCGUCUGGCCCCCCUUCCAACGCAUUGCCAGGAGAUGCGUUUUGUGUUUGAUGAAAGUAAAGACAAAGUUAUCAUUAUUGAAGGAAACAUGAACUCCUAUGAACACUUCAACUUUACAGCUAAGAAGGCUGGUUCCACCGUUCUAUUUUUUGCUGAAGUGACCCGAGACAAAGGACAACUGUGUAAUGUUCUUUGCUGCAAGCCUUUGGAUUCUGAUGACAAUGGACAUUGCUUUGGUUGUAAGAAUCAAGGUUAUGUGGACUUGAGGCAUCCAGCUGGCGAAAGUUUGUAUGUUGGAGGUCAUGUGGAUUGCGAGUUCCCAUUUAUGUGGGAUAGUAUCAGUGAGGAUGACUCUGAUUGA